UCCGGCUUAUCACCGGCGGUUCCCCUAGAGUGCCCGGCCGGACCGCUGGCAACUAGGGACGAGGGUUGCGCUCGUUGCGGGACUUAACCCAACAUCUCACGACACGAGCUGACGACAACCAUGCACCACCUGUAUACCGACCUUGCGGGGAGUACAUUUCUGCACUUUUCCGGUAUAUGUCAAGCCUUGGUAAGGUUCUUCGCGUUGCAUCGAAUUAAUCCGCAUGCUCCGCCGCUUGUGCGGGCCCCCGUCAAUUCCUUUGAGUUUUAGCCUUGCGGCCGUACUCCCCAGGCGGGGCACUUAAUGCGUUAGCUACGGCGCCGGGGGAGUCGACACCCCCAACACCUAGUGCCCAUCGUUUACGGCGUGGACUAC
rnacentral:misc_RNA from 1 species